CACUAUUCACUAUCUUUCUCCAAUCGAUCGAUUGUUCUCCUCUUCCCCUGUUCAAACGAAACCAGCAGCAACGAACCCAAAGUUGAUCUCCCACUUCCUCUCACCCUCUUUCCCCCUGUCUUCUUAUUCCUUUUCCAACACUGAACUGCUGAAAUCAAGUCGAUGAGCAAAUACUUCCUUUCUUCCCCAUCCGCAAAAGAACAGAGAACGAGAGCGGUGGCGAUUCAUGGUGAACCAGAGCAGCGUGACUGAAACGACCACCGCUGCUGCAACUUCUAGUAGCAGCAGUAGUUUCUCGGCUUUGACCGAUCAUCCUUCCUCUUCCUCAUGGCGGGUUUGAAUGAGAGGCAGCGGCAAACCUUCCUUCCUUCAACUUCUACUUAUAUUCCAACCAAAUCACCCCUCCUUGCUCCGAUCAUCGUUCCCCCUUUCUAUGAAGAACAGAGCCCACAGUCAUUAACGGAAGCAUCAUUUUCUACCAGACCUAGUAAAGGCUCCGUCGCUUUUGGCAUUGCCUCUCAUUUUUCCACCUUUUCUCAGUCGUUUCUUCUCUUGUUCCACUCUCGGAAUUCGGUAGCAGACCGAGACCUCCCCUAUUUGUGAGCUUGAGUCAGGCAAGUUGUAGUGGAUAGCCCCAGCUUGCUCCAAUUUAGAAGGUGGAAGCAGGAUUCAAUCGACCUCUAUAAUCUGAUCUAAACCCCCGGAGCACAUCGGACUCACUAGAACUUCCAUCUGCAAUAUUAACCAAUCAGCCAAUACAUCCUCAGGGGAAAUAUGUGUUGAUACUCGGGUUGGUCGAGGACAACAAAGUAAUUUCACCCCUGAGCUCUGAUGGUGGGCCGAGGGCUUUGAAGGAUUCGAGGAAGAGGUGCUGAGACCGAGGACUGGAGGCCGAGGCUGAUAGCUAAGGUGCUACAAGACAAAUGAUGUCAGAGGCCUCGGGUAAGAACCUAAGGCGGAGGCUCCAUCGGUCAAGUCAAUUUUAGGGUACAAAGAGGGGAAUCAAGUAAAGACGAGGGCUCUGAGGAGUCUACUUGUAGAUACUGACCCAAAGUGAGGACACUUAAGUUUUAUAGUAGGACCAGAUUUCAGGAUCAGGAUCCCUCACCUAGAGGGGAGUACCCCCUAUUUAUACUUGAGCUGCCUAGAGGUUGGUGGAGAUGGAUGCCUAAGAUGAGAGCCGUAUGAGGGUAGUCAGAGAGUUCUGUGGGGACGCGUGGGCGCUCCACGAUUGGCUCCAUACGAGGGGUGCAGUGUAGCCCCUACUAUGACCAGUCACGUCCCUGGUUCUGGCGCUCGUGGGCUGGGCUGGGCCACCCUACAUCAAUAUGCAUGCGUUGGACACUUCUGCAUAUUUUUAUUGCUUAGUUCUUGUUUGUCAUUUAAAUGCCUUCCUUCUAUUAGAUAACUAUUGUUUGUUUAAUUAAUCAUUUCGGUUUUGUAUUAA